GUAGAACCUUGGUAACCGUCUUGA
rnacentral:siRNA from 1 species